rnacentral:rRNA from 1 species
CGGGAAGGUGUUCCCUUACGGGGAGCCUGGUGACAGGUGCUGCAUGGCCGUCGUCAGCUCGUGCCGUGAGGUGUUGGGUUAAGUCCCGCAACGAGCGCAACCCUUUAUCAUUAGUUGCUACGCAAGGGCACUCUAAUGAGACUGCCGGUGACAAACCGGAGGAAGGUGGGGAUGACGUCAAGUCCUCAUGGCCCUUAUGGGUAGGGCUUCACACGUCAUACAAUGGUCGGUACAGAGGGUUGCCAAGCCGCGAGGCGGAGCCAAUCCCACAAAGCCGAUCGUAGUCCGGAUUGUUCUCUGCAACUCGAGAGCAUGAAGUCGGAAUCGCUAGUAAUCGCAGGUCAGCAUACUGCGGUGAAUACGUUCCCGGGUCUU